UGAGGAAUAUUGCGCAAUGGAGGCAACUCUGACGCAGCAACGCCGCGUGGGUGAAGAAGGCCCUCGGGUUGUAAAGCCCUGUCAGGUGGGAAGAACCCUCUGUAGUUGAAUAGACUACAGAACUGACGGUACCACCAAAGGAAGCACCGGCUAACUCCGUGCCAGCAGCCGCGGUAAGACGGAGGGUGCAAGCGUUGUUCGGAAUCACUGGGCGUAAAGCGCGUGUAGGCGGCCUGACAAGUCGAAUGUGAAAGCCCGGGGCUCAACUUCGGAAGCGCAUUCGAAACUGUUAGGCUUGAGUACGGGAGAGGGAAGUGGAAUUCCUGGUGUAGAGGUGAAAUUCGUAGAUAUCAGGAGGAACACCGGUGGCGAAGGCGGCUUCCUGGACCGAUACUGACGCUGAGACGCGAAAGCGUGGGGAGCAAACAGG
rnacentral:rRNA from 1 species